AUGACCAUUAUGUUAAUCGGAAACAAGUCAGAUGUUACUAAGAAGCGCAUUGUAAUUAUUCAAGAAGGUGAGAAGUUCGCGAAGGAGAAUGGUUUAAUCUUCAUGGAGGUUUCGGCAAAAAGUGCAGAAAAUGUUGAAGCAGCAUUCUUAAAAACAGCUGGAUCAAUAUAUAAGAAGAUUGAAGAUGGAGAAAUUGAUGUGUUGAAUGAGAAACAUGGAAUCAAAAUUGGAUAUAGUAGUAAACUUUCUAUUUUUAGUGGAAGGUGCUGCACUUGA